AAUACAAGAAGAAGAUGGCCUUCUGCAAAUCAAGAGGACAGCCCUCAUCAGACAGUAAAUCUGCUGGCACUUUGAUCUUAGACUUUUUACCUUGAGAACUGUGAGAAAAAAAUGUUCUUUAAGCCACUCAGCCUAUGGCAUCAUGUUUUAACAACCUGAACUAAGACAGAAGGGGAAGGAGAAAUGGAGGAAACAGUGAAUGAGACACAGACUGACUCCAUAUCUUGGCUGUUGUAAAGAAUGCUGCAAUGAACAUGUGAGUGCAGGAUGGCUACAAAAAAGAGACACAUGAUAAGAGGUACUGGCAAGGAUACGAAGAAACAGGAAUGAUCAUAGACUGCUGAUGAGAAGGGACAUGGAUGAAUCUGGAAAACAUCAUUCUCAGCAAACUGACAUAAGAACAGAAAAUGAAAUACCACAUAUUUUCACUCAUAGGCAGGUGAUGAAGAAUGAGAACAUAUGGACACAGGGAGAGGAGCACUACACAAUGGGGUCUAUUGGAGGGAAUAGGAGAGGGACAGUGGGGGAGGGGAUCUGGGGAGGGAUAGCAUGGGGAGAAAUGCCAGAUGUGGGUGAAGGGGAGGAAGGCAGCAAAUCACACUGCCACGUGUGUACCUAUGUAACUAUCUUGCAUGUUCUGCACAUGUACCCCAAAACCUAA
rnacentral:lncRNA from 1 species